GGCAAAUCUGAGUGCAGUGGAGGCUCAAGCGGCCAUGUUGGUGGCCCCGGCAUGGAUGGCCCUUGGGGGCCAGAGGAAUCCCAUUCGCAGCACAGGUCACAGAAGCAUCCCGCAGCCCUGCUGAGUCUGUUUCAGCAGCCAGAUUAGCAGUCAGCGGUAAUCCGACCCUGCUGCUCAUUGCAGCUGACUGUUGAGGAGGAGCCACCGCCAGCAAAAAGAGAGAGAGAGCAAGGAGGAGGAGAGAGAGCCACACAUACGGCUCACACACACAGAGUUCGCCCUCUCUUACACACAUAUACGCAAACACACACACACAGUUGCACGGAUGCACUUCUCAGUCUGUAGGCUCCUCUGAUCCUCUAAAAGCCUUCACCCCACCACAUGAGCAGGACGCUCUCAACCUGGACAGUCUGCCUGCCUUGACCAGUCUUACACGAGGAGAAAGAUCUCCCUCUCCCAGCUGAGUGGAAUACCCUCAGCAAACGGGGACAAGUGGAAGGAUAGGAACAGCAUUGUGUACAGAAGGGAUUCCUACAAAGCAAAACAUUAAGCGUUGGCCAAGCAGAGAAUUUUGAGUGUCAAGGACUUAUUGGAAGGGCUCCCCACCCCAAGCUUCAACCCCCCUCCCCCCCAAGCAUGAGGAAGCUACAAACACCCAUCUUCAGGGAGGAUGUGAGCCAGCGGUGAUUCAUAAUUCUGGAAAAGUCCGCACCACCAUGAGGGGCCUCUAGGGAGGAGUCUGCGUGGAGCAUCUGGAGAGACGCAGGUUCGGACACGGAGGGAAACUACGCCACGCACCACGACACCGGAGGUUUCCCGGCUGCCCCCAGAUGUAGAAGGUGUAGUCGGCCGUGGGGGCGGAGAGACAGACACAGAAAGAGAGAGAGAGAGUGUAUGUGGUGUGUGUGCGCCCAUCUCAUCCUUUGCCUCAUGAUGAGGGACUUAUUGGCCCGGCCCAUGUCUUGAGGUCAACCCAAUACAGCGACAUAAAGAUAAGGCUGGAUUAGCCAAGCGAACGGUAAGGACACAUCUCCUUUUGUUAGCAUAAGCCGGGGCUUAGCGUGAAUGCGUUAAGCACUGCACCAAGGCAAGGGUUCACAAAAUGUCAGUGUGCUGGCGAGAGCUCAGGAUUUGACAGUUGCUUGACAAGUUUGUUUGAUGCCUGCAUUUCCUAGCGGAACACAUGGUUCCUCUUUGAUCUGGCAUUCCUGAAAUGUGUUUUCUGAUCUAAACAUACGAUAGUGAUCUUAACAGAAAAAUACAUACAUAAGAUAGGUUGGCUCAUUGUUACACUCCUGGUUGUUUGACAUGGUUACAAUUUGAUACCAAGACACUUGCUAGAACUAUAUUAGUAUGGAAAUGAUGUAUAAUGGUGGCUUGUUGUUCAAUGAGAUUAACCUAAAAAAAAUGAACUAAUCUCCAAAGUGCACCCAUCACUGUCUGACACCUGUUCAGGGUUUUAAG
rnacentral:lncRNA from 1 species